GCGGCUCGAUCAUUCAGUCUCGUGAUCUCGAAACGGAACAACGCGCAUAGUUUUCCGCCAGUAGUCGGCUCUGUCCAAAGAAAAAUUGCAAGAUGAUGACGUACGCGAAAAGCAAGCCAUUAAUAAUUGCAGUGAACGUUUUUGUUGUUGCAGCCGUUGUCAUACUGUUAUUAAUCUUCCAUUUCUCGAACCAAAUCGAAGAGCCUCGGAGUAACUAAAAAUGUAAGGGGCCAUCGGUGUAUGUGUUCGUCCUGCAGACGAAGACUGAUGCUGCUGCAUUUGCGGUGAGAGUGCGUGCCUCGCAUAAGUUAGAAACGUUAACCGGCAGCAGGACGAAGGACGCAGGACGCAGGACGCAGGACGCAGGACGAAGGACGAACGGGCGGAGGAAGGGAGGAAUGGAGAGCUGGAACUGAGACUGGCAGGCGAACUAUGGCAUAGCG